AUUGGAAAGAUGGGCUACGCUCUCGCUCCUCUACUUUUUCCUUUUCUUUCUCCUUCUUUUCUUUUUUCUCUUUUUUUU
rnacentral:ribozyme from 9 species